rnacentral:rRNA from 1 species
UGGGGAAUAUUGCACAAUGGGCGCAAGCCUGAUGCAGCCAUGCCGCAUGUGUGAAGAAGGCCUUCGGGUUGUAAAGCACUUUCAGCGGGGAGGAAGGCGGUGAGGUUAAUAACCUCACCGAUUGACGUUACCCGCAGAAGAAGCACCGGCUAACUCCGUGCCAGCAGCCGCGGUAAUACGGAGGGUGCAAGCGUUAAUCGGAAUUACUGGGCGUAAAGCGCACGCAGGCGGUCUGUCAAGUCGGAUGUGAAAUCCCCGGGCUCAACCUGGGAACUGCAUUCGAAACUGGCAGGCUAGAGUCUUGUAGAGGGGGGUAGAAUUCCAGGUGUAGCGGUGAAAUGCGUAGAGAUCUGGAGGAAUACCGGUGGCGAAGGCGGCCCCCUGGACAAAGACUGACGCUCAGGUGCGAAAGCGUGGGGAGCAAACAGG